rnacentral:lncRNA from 1 species
CUCCUUUGUCAUUUUUAUCUCCAAAUAGAAGACCUCUGUUUUCCCAGAAGAUUAAAUAGUAGAAAAGAAGUAGCCCAAGGUCUGGGACAGAGCCUGGCUUUUCUAUAAAGCUUCUGGUGAUGGGAUGUCGCUGGUUCUCAGCCACAAUUUGAGUAGCAAGAGCCCUGGACAACUUUCAGGAAGACAGUUCUGGUCUGUAGCAAUUAACACAUGGUCAUCCUCAGAAAAAGGAGAUACCCAUAACUUAAAAUGCAGGAACCAAGAGAUUUGAGCCUAGACAUUUGGAUGAAAAGCGAUUUCCACCUGGAGAAAGUCACUGCCCUUCUGUGCAGAGUACCAUUGUGUCUUGAAUCCAGCUUGGCCAUAAGGAAAUGGGGCGAGACUUUGUCAUGUAUGUCGCUGAAGUUCAGCUAUGCAAAAAUGUUCACCUAUCCUUGAUCAACCAGUCCAGGAACCAUCAAAGAAGAAAAUGAGAUUCGACUUAGAAGACCUGUUCUUUAUAAACCCCUGCACAGCCCUAAUGAUCAACACCACUUCCAGUGCUCAUAAAUUACUGCUUCAAUAAUUGUUCUGCAAUUCUGCCUAUUCUCAUUGAAUGCUUCGUAUAAUCCCUUUAUUUACUUUGGGCUACGAUUCAUUUUUAUCAGUCAAAUGACUACUAGACUAUCCUGGUUUCUAAUUUGAAAUGUAUCCAAAGAAGAUUCCUGUCUCACCCUCUGCAAUCCACUUGCAUGUCUGACCACACUCGGUGCCUACACAAUCUUCACUUUGUCUAGCCUAAAUUCUUCUAACUGUGGCCUAAGGCCUUGGAAGAAUGAUGCCUCUGUGGGGUAAGAACUGCCUUCGUGGCAUAAGAAAGGCAGACCUGGGUGAUCUGGAAGGGCUGUUGCAAGGGGAUAGGAGUGCUGAGGCCUUUUCCAUUAAGAAUACACAGGACUAUGGAGACUCUUGUUUUACUAGAAACUUCUUCACAGAUACCUUAAAUUAGGAAGAAAAUGCCUUUGGUUCUUGGUUCUACUAUUGGCUUCAAAUUCUUAGGCAUGCCAGACCCUACUGAACAUCUUGACACAUGUCCUUUCUUCUCUGAACUGGCGCACAGGCAUGGUGAGUAACU